ensembl:snoRNA
AACACGGAGGUGAUGAGUGCAUAGUUCAGCAGAUUUACCGUGAAGAAUAUCACGUCUUUCGCUCCUAUCUGAUCUGUCAA